rnacentral:rRNA from 1 species
AUUGAACGCUGGCGGCAUGCCUUACACAUGCAAGUCGAACGGCAGCACGGGUGCUUGCACCUGGUGGCGAGUGGCGAACGGGUGAGUAAUACAUCGGAACGUACCUUAUCGUGGGGGAUAACGCAGCGAAAGCUGUGCUAAUACCGCAUACGCCCUGAGGGGGAAAGCGGGGGAUCGCAAGACCUCGCGCGAUUAGAGCGGCCGAUGCCUGAUUAGCUUGUUGGUGGGGUAAAAGCCCACCAAGGCGACGAUCAGUAGCUGGUCUGAGAGGACGGUCAGCCACACUGGGAAGGAGACAGGGCCCAGACUCCGACGGGAGGCAGCAGUGGGGAAUUUUGGUCAAUGGGGGCAACCCUGAUCCAGCAAUGCCGCGUGAGCGAAGAAGGCCUUCGGGUUGUAAAGCUCUUUUGUCAGGGAAGAAACACCGGCUCUAACACAGUCUGGGAAUGACGGUACCUGAAGAAUAAGCACCGGCUAACUACGUGCCAGCAGCCGCAGUAA